rnacentral:rRNA from 1 species
GUGCCUAACACGUGCAAGUCGAACGGGCUGUAGCAAUACAGUUAGUGGCAGACGGGUGAGUAACACGUAGAUAACGUACCCCCCCGCUGGGAUAGCCACUGGAAACGGUGGGUAAUACCGAAUACUCUCACGAUGGGGCAUCCUGUUGUGAGGAAACUUUCAGGGCGGAGGGAUCGGUUUGCGUCCUAUCAGCUAGUUGGUGAGGUAAUAGCUCACCAAGGCGACGACGGGUAGCCGGUCUGAGAGGAUGAUCGGCCACACUGGCACUGAGAUACGGGCCAG